rnacentral:lncRNA from 13 species
GUGAUCUUUGUGAUAUGACUUUCUUUAAGCACGUACUGAAAAAACUGACUUAAUGUUUUUCUUACAUUUAUUCACUACUUUUAUUAUUGUCCUGUAAAUGGUUCAGUGCCUAUAAUUUAGGCUGUGUGUAGAAUGGGGCAUAAAGGAAAUUACCUCUACUAAUAAAUUACUACUAAAGUAUAGUGAUAAGGAAAACAGCAUACAAAUUUGGCUUGUGUAUUCAUAUGCCUAUAACUAAUCAUAUUUCCAUUAUGUUUACAUAAAAAAGAGAAUACUUCAAAAUGAGAAGAUCCUACCAUGGAAAAGAUGACUUGGUGGACAAAGUGGAAAGGAGGGGAAAUAACUCCCACCAUGCAGCAGGACCCCUUCAGCUGUGGGGUCUUUGUAAUGCAGAUGGCCAAGGAAGUUGCACAGAACUUCCCCAACAUCCCCUCCCAAAUUGAUAUGGAACCUUCAAAAACACAUUGUCACGAAUUCUGCCGAAGUCGUUGCCUCUCCUUGUUCGGGCGGUGCUCGACGUCACCGGUCUUCUAGCCAGCAUUGAUCCAUUUUUCAUUUUCCAUUGGUUUUGUCUUGUCUUCCCCCACACCUGUUUUCAAUCCCAUUCAUUACCUGUUGUGUAUGUAACCAUCUGUUUCCCCUCAUGUCUUUGUCAGAGAUUGUUUAUUGUCAGUGUUGUGUUUGUUGUAUAGGUGCGCGACGGAUCCUCGUACCCAUGUUUGUUUAUAUUCUGUUCUUAUUAGUGUUAUGGAGCAUGUUACGUGGACAUUCAUUAAAAUAAUAUAUUUUACACUCUGUUUGACUCUCCUGCGCCUGACUUCCCUGACACCUAUACACACACGACUCUGACACACAUGGAGCAACUGCGAAAAGAAAUGGCUGAGGAUAUCCUAAAAAUGUCUGCUAUAUAAUGACACUUAAUUCAAAGUAAAUGUAAAUGAUUUUUAUGUAGUUGUGUGGGACAGCCAUAUGUUCAGUUCAUGCCUAUGAUUUCAGAGUUCAACAAAGCCAACAACUGCUUCAUGUGUGCCACUGAUAAAGAACCUGGAUGUGGCCCAAAGACUGACUGGGUUAGUAACUUCAUUUAACAUGUUUAUAAUCUUUUGACAACAGUGACGGCAUGUGAGACAGUUUAUGAUAUGACACAAUGGAUGGCUAAUUCGUCAUACUGCAUUGAUAUUAUUUAUAACGUGUUGCGCUUUGUUUUGAUUAAAUGUUUUGCAUGCCAACGGUGGUUCCAUGUGCGUGCCUAGGAAUGAAGACACGAGUUCAACAGAGUAAAGAUGCUAUACUCCAUCCACACUGAAGAGGCUCUGAAAUGUACAUCAACCAAGGAUAAAGAGAAAGUUGACACUGUGAAAUGCUUCAUACCUAAUUGAAGUUAAGUGUCUACAUGUUGGGAAAGAUUAAAGGUCUCCAAUUUCUGUUUAAUUUGUCAAUAUUACAUUUUUAUUCAUUGAUUUACUGGCCACCAUUACUAUGGUUACAUGUUCAGUAUAUGCAUUGACCAGCAAACCCACUGCAGCCCACCUCACCAGCUCACUCUCCAUCCCUGCUUUGGACAAUUAAUAGCAUGACUCUCUUACUUUUCCCUUUAUGGUUGAUAUUAACGACGAAAGGAGACUGUCUCUCCUAUUGUGUACCACUUAAAUACUGCUAUUGUGUACCACUUAAAUACUGCUAUUG